CCCUGCUGGCGACCCCCUCCCCUGCACCCCAGGCUGGUGGCUGGCUGCCCUUGAUCCUACUUCUGCUAUUGAAACCAAGAAGGGGGGAGAAGGAGGGAAGAAGGAAGGAGCAGCCACAAAAAAGAAGGAAGGAAGGAAGAGAGGAGAAAGAGUUUUCGCUAGAUCUCGCUACGUGUGCUAGAUGUUGAUGAGGAUGUGGAGGUGGAGGACUUUUUGGAGGAAAUGGAAGAAAGAUAAUGUGGAGGCUAGCUGCUCCAUUUGCCGCGGCAUCACUUGGAGCAAGAGAACUUGGGUGUUGAUGAGGAUGUGGAGGUGAAGGAAUUUUUGGAGGAAAAAGAUGAAUGAUAAUCUUGAAGCUCGCUGCUCCAUUUGCCAAGGCCAUCAAUGAAAAUGUGGAGGCUGACCGCUCAAUUUGUACUUUUAAAUAUCUAAGUAUUGUCGAACUUAUAAUAUUAAGUAUUUGGGCACCUUUGUCCAGGUUUGAUGAACAAUUAAAGAGGUUUUAUCGUUCCAAGAAAUA